rnacentral:rRNA from 1 species
AGGGUUUGAUCAUGGCUCAGAACGUACGCUGGCGGCACGCCUAACACAUGCAAGUCGAACGAAGUAGCAAUACUUAGUGGCAGACGGGUGAGUAACAUGUAGGUAUCUGCCCUUUGGCCUGGAAUAACACGAGGAAACUUGUGCUAAUACCGGAUAAGUCUUUACGGAGAAAGCUUUAUGCACCAUUGGAUGAGCCUGCACUUGAUUAGUUUGUUGGUGGGGUAAUGGCCUACCAAGACUGUGAUCAAUAGCUGAUUUGAGAGGAUGAUCAGCCACAUUGGGACUGAGACACGGCCCAAACUCCUACGGGAGGCAGCAGUGGGGAAUCUUGCACAAUGGAGGAAACUCUGAUGCAGCGAUGCCGCGUGAGUGAAGAAGGCCCUUGGGUUGUAAAGCUCUUUCGUCGGGGAAGAAAAUGACUGUACCCGAAUAAGAAGGUCCGGCUAACUUCGUGCCAGCAGCCGCGGUAAUACGAAGGGACCUAGCGUAGUUCGGAAUUACUGGGCUUAAAGAGUUCGUAGGUGGUUGAAAAAGUUAGUGGUGAAAUCCCAGAGCUUAACUCUGGAACUGCCAUUAAAACUUUUCAGCUAGAGUAUGAUAGAGGAAAGCAGAAUUUCUAGUGUAGAGGUGAAAUUCGUAGAUAUUAGAAAGAAUACCAAUUGCGAAGGCAGCUUUCUGGAUCAUUACUGACACUGAGGAACGAAAGCAUGGGUAGCGAAGAGGAUUAGAUACCCUCGUAGUCCAUGCCGUAAACGAUGUGUGUUAGACGUUGGAAAUUUAUUUUCAGUGUCGCAGGGAAACCGAUAAACACACCGCCUGGGGAGUACGACCGCAAGGUUAAAACUCAAAUGAAUUGACGGGGACCCGCACAAGUAGUGGAGCAUGUGGUUUAAUUCGAAGAUACGCGCAGAACCUUACCAACACUUGACAUGUUCGUCGCGACUCUAAGAGAUUAGAGUUUUCGGUUCGGCCGGACGAAACACAGGUGCUGCAUGGCUGUCGUCAGCUCGUGUCGUGAGAUGUUGGGUUAAGUCCCGCAACGAGCGCAACCCUCACUUUUAGUUGCCAUCAUUAAGUUGGGCACUCUGAAAGAACUGCCAGUGAUAAGCUGGAGGAAGGUGGGGAUGACGUCAAGUCCUCAUGGCCCUUACGUGUUGGGCUACACACGUGCUACAAUGGUAUCUACAACAGGAAGCAAGACUGCGAGGUCAAGCAAAUCCUUAAAAGAUACCUCAGUUCGGAUUGCACUCUGCAACUCGAGUGCAUGAAGCUGGAAUUACUAGUAAUCGUGGAUCAGCGUGCCACGGUGAAUGCGUUCCCGGGUCUUGUACACACCGCCCGUCACACCAUGGGAGUUGGUUCUACCUUAAGGCAAGGUUUCAAACCCUUGACCACGGUAUAGUCAGCGACUGGGGUGAAGUCAUAACAAGGUAACCGUA